UGCUGCAACAGCACGCUUGGUCCUAUAGAAGCCAAGCUGGGGUGAAACACUGGUUUCCUUUUUUCUUCCAAAAUACGAUCCAAAGCUCUUUGAGGUUUUGGUAUGGAUAUCCAUAGUGUUGGUUUGCACUGAGAGCCUCAAGAGAAGGUUAAAGAGGAAGAAACCCAAGGGGGGGCUGCAGCAGUGGGAUUUUGCAGGGAACGUUUUGGCACGAGGGAGCAUCGCUCCCUUCUGCCAAGGCCUCUGGUGCUACCAGUCCGCUACAGAACAGCUUCACGUUGGUGAUGGUGGUUGUGGGAUGUUUGCCAAUGCCAGUUAAGCCCACAAAAAGGCUUA